rnacentral:miRNA from 1 species
UUGAGAGAAAAAAGACAUAAU